rnacentral:rRNA from 1 species
GACGAACGCUGGCGGCGUGCUUAACACAUGCAAGUCGAACGGAAAGGCCCGGCGUUUGUGGGGUGCUCGAGUGGCGAACGGGGGAGUAACACGUGAGUAACCUGCCCUUGACUUUGGGAUAACUUCAGGAAACUGGGGCGAAUACCGGAUAGGAGCUCCUGCUGCAUGGGGGGGGUUGGAAAGUGUCGGCGGUGGGGGAUGGACUCGCGGCUUAUCAGCUUGUUGGUGGGGUAGUGGCUUACCAAGGCUUUGACGGGUAGCCGGCCUGAGAGGGUGACCGGCCACAUUGGGACUGAGAUACGGCCCAGACUCCUACGGGAGGCAGCAGUGGGGAAUAUUGCACAGUGGGCGGAAGCCUGAUGCAGCAACGCCGCGUGCGGGAUGCCGGCCUUCGGGUUGUAAACCGCUUUCGCCUGUGCCGAAGCGUGAGUGACGGUAAUGGGUAAAGAAGCCCCGGCUAACUACGUG